rnacentral:rRNA from 1 species
UGGGCUAGACAACAUCAGACAGUCCUAGAGAUAGGAUCUUCCCUUCGGGGACUGGUGGUUCAGGUGCUGCAUGGCUGUCGUCAGCUCGUGUCGUGAGAUGUUGGGUUAAGUCCCGCAACGAGCGCAACCCUUGCCUUUAGUUGCCAUCAGGUAAAGCUGGGCACUCUAAAGGGACUGCCGGCGUUAAGCAGGAGGAAGGUGGGGAUGACGUCAAGUCCUCAUGGCCCUUAUGU